UGGGGAAUCUUGCACAAUGGACGAAAGUCUGAUGCAGCAACGCCGCGUGGGGGAUGAAGCUUCUCGGAGUGUAAACCCCUUUCGACCCGGAAGAAUGCCCGCAAGGGUUUGACGGUACGGGUAUAAGAGGCCCCGGCUAACUACGUGCCAGCAGCCGCGGUAAUACGUAGGGGGCCAGCGUUGCUCGGAAUUACUGGGCGUAAAGGGUCUGUAGGCGGUGCGGCAAGUCGAUAGUGAAAUCCCUAGGCUUAACCUAGGGGCUGCUAGCGAAACUGCCGUGCUAGAGUGUGAGAGAGGCGAGUGGAAUUACGGGUGUAGCGGUGAAAUGCGUAGAUAUCCGUAGGAACAUCCGAGGCGAAAGCGGCUCGCUGGAUCACAACUGACGCUGAGAGACGAAAGCUAGGGGAGCAAACAGGAUUAGAUACCCUGGUAGUCCUAGCCCUAAACCAUCAGGACUUGGGGUUUGCCCUGUACGGGGCAAGUCCCGUAGCUAACGCGUUAAGUCCUGCGCCUGGGGAGUACGGUCGCAAGGCUG
rnacentral:rRNA from 1 species